GACGAACGCUGGCGGCGUGCCUAAUACAUGCAAGUUGAGCGCUGAAGGUUGGUACUUGUACCAACUGGAUGAGCAGCGAACGGGUGAGUAACGCGUGGGGAAUCUGCCUUUGAGCGGGGGACAACAUUUGGAAACGAAUGCUAAUACCGCAUAAAAACUUUAAACACAAGUUUUAAGUUUGAAAGAUGCAAUUGCAUCACUCAAAGAUGAUCCCGCGUUGUAUUAGCUAGUUGGUGAGGUAAAGGCUCACCAAGGCGAUGAUACAUAGCCGACCUGAGAGGGUGGUCGGCCACAUUGGGAAUGAGACACGGCCCAAACUCCUACGGGGAGCAGCAGUAGGGAAUCUUCGGCAAUGGACGAAAGUCUGAACGAGCAACGCCGCGUGAGUGAAGAAGGUUUUCGGAUCGUAAAACUCUGUUGGUAGAGAAGAACGUUGGUGAGAGUGGAAAGCUCAUCAAGUGACGGUAACUACCCAGAAAGGGACGGCUAACUACGUG
rnacentral:rRNA from 1 species